rnacentral:rRNA from 1 species
GACGAACGCUGGCGGCGUGCCUAAUACAUGCAAGUCGAACGAACCGCGACUAGGUGCUUGCACUUGGUCAAGGUGAGUGGCGAACGGGUGAGUAACACGUGGGUAGCCUACCUCAUAGUGGGGGAUAACAGUCGGAAACGACUGCUAAUACCGCAUAGGACAUAGGAUCACAUGAUUCUGUGAGGAAAGGUGGCGCAAGCUAUCGCUAAGAGAUGGACCCGCGGUGCAUUAGCUAGUUGGUAGGGUAAAGGCCUACCAAGGCGAUGAUGCAUAGCCGACCUGAGAGGGUGAUCGGCCACAUUGGGACUGAGACACGGCCCAAACUCCUACGGGAGGCAGCAGUAGGGAAUCUUCCGCAAUGGACGCAAGUCUGACGGAGCAACGCCGCGUGAGUGAAGAAGGUCUUCGGAUCGUAAAGCUCUGUUGUUAGAGAAGAACAGCGCAUAGAGUAACUGUUAUGCGUGUGACGGUAUCUAACCAGAAAGCCACGGCUAACUACGUG